GUUGCAAAUGAUGAUAAAACAGACAGGGACAUCUGCACUCCAUUGGAGAUUGAUGACUAGUCUAAAUGGGAAUCUCUCUGAUGCAUU